ACAACCCUCAGGCCCCCGGGCCUGGCGUUGGGGAUCGGCGGAAGCCCCCUGUGGGCACACGCCGUCCCUCAAAUACAGUGGCGGUCCCGCCGCAGCUUCCAUUGCGUAGUAGCUAACACCUCGCAACUGGAGAGCGGCGCGGCCAUGCCGUAAAACACCCAACUUCUGAAUG
rnacentral:misc_RNA from 1 species